rnacentral:rRNA from 1 species
AGUCACUGACAUUAGAUACCCUGUAGUCCAGGGUGUAAACGCUGCAGACUUGGUGUUGGGAACCCGUUCGGGGGUGCUCAGUGCCGGAGAGAAGUUGUUAAGUCUGCUACGUUGGGAGUACGUCCGCAAGGAUGAAACUUAAAGGAAUUGGCGGGGAGCACCACAACGGGUGGAGCCUGCGGUUUAAUUGGACUCAACGCCGGAAAUCUCACCGGAUAGGACAGACAUAUGAUAGUCGGGCUGAAGACUCUACUUGAUGAUCUG